rnacentral:tRNA from 1 species
UAUAUAAUAAGCUAAAUAAAGCUAAUAGGUUCAUACCCUACUGAUAAAUUUAAUAAAUUUUUAUAUAA